GUUUCCCUUGGGUAGAUUCCCAGGAGUGAGGUGGCUGAGUCAUAUGAUAGAUCUAUGUUUAGACCUCGGAGGUAUCUCCACACUGUAUUCCAUAGUGGAUUUACCAGCUGACAUUCCCACCAAUGGUGGAUUGAGGUACCUUUUCCCUACAUCCUUGGCAGCAUUUAUUGUUUGUUGAUUUCUGUAUGAACGCCAUUCUAACAGAGUAAGGUGUCGCUGGAAGGAAGAUUCACCUCUCCUGGCAGCUUCGUGGAUGGGAGACGCCAGAUCACUCUCAGGAUGGGGGCUGGCUCCAUGCUGCAGAAGCAAAUUCACACAAGCCUGGCUGCCACUGACACAAGCAUUAAACAAGGGAGUGUGCCAGUCCAUAGUGACGCCAUUCACCUGCAAGAAAAGCUCCAGGAUGAAGACAAGCUGUGAGGUGGCCAGCGCUCAAGUCCAGCCUCCCUCCCUUUCAAGAUAACUAUUUAACAUCCCUAAGCCUUCCCUGAAUGAGGUAUAUAAUUUGGCAUGUCUGAAAGCUAUCACUCAGGUCAGGACAAAAGAUGAAGAAGACUGUAUGAAAUAUGUCUCCUCUGGCACAUUCCCAUACCCAACCCCAGACAGACGUGAAAAAGAUGUCUACAGCUUUGUAAAGAUAAACCCAGUUUCCCCAUACCCCUGGGUGCUGCUUCGUGCGGACGGCCCCCUCCACUCCCAUUGCUCCUCUUCUUCAGACAGAGGAGGAGUUUCACGCCAGCGGGAAUUAAUGCAGAAGGCCGUGCAGUUUUCUCACCACUCCAAAAGGAAAGAGUUGAAGAACGAUAAACCUGUGUUUGGCAGACACUGAGAAAUUUGCUUCCAACAUAGACUAGUAAUGCAGGUUGUAAAACAAACAAGCGAGGAGCUGGUGCGUUGGCAGUUCCACUGGAGAGCACCCUGGGUGAUGGUGUCAUCCACCUCUGCACCAAGGAGCAGCCACGCGAAAGCCCAGAAGUGCACACAAGAAACACAGCUGAAACCUACUAUUCAAGCUUCUCCAACAGCCUGCUUGAAUUUCUUGAAGUUUUGCAAAAUAAAAUAUUAUGAUUAUUGCCUUAUUCACAAUGUACAGAGGGAUUUUACCAUAUAGACUGGUGAUCUUACAGGCACUGGUCGUGGAAGAGAGUCUGUUUUUGGUCAACUGUAUGAUGAUCAAGCAAGCUUUUUUGAGGAGGAAAAGGUGGCAAGAAUUAAACACAAGAAGAAAAGCACUGUGUCCAUGGUGAACAAUGGCAGUGCUCAGCAUGGGUCUCCAUUUCUGAUUACUACAGGAGAAAAUCUAGAUUACCUUCAUGGUGUUCAUACAGCAUUUAGCAAGGUGAUGGAGCCGUGGGCAUAGUUAAGAAAAUUAGUGAGGCCUUUGCUGAUAAGGACUUUGUACCAUACCAAUUGCUUUUAGAUAAUCCAUUUGGCACCCUCCUGAUUUAUUGCUGAUCGAUCACCAGAACCCACAAGGGAACAGUUAGUGGCCAAAUAGGAGCAGAUGAAGAAAUUGAUGAUUUUAAAGAAGAUCAGCUGAAGUAGACACCAUCAGCCAGCUUAAGAAAUAGACCAAGACCUACAUUUUAAAGUCCUCUGUAUGUCCUCCCCUCCAGUAAUUGUUACUCCAAAUUUUGUUUGUCAU